AUCAACUUUCGAUGGUAGGAUAGAGGCCUACCAUGGUGGUAACGGGUAACGGGGUGUUAGGGCACGACACCGGAGAGGGAGCCUGAGAAACGGCUACCACAUCCAAGGAUGGCAGCAGGCGCGCAAAUUACCCAAUCCCGACACGGGGAGGUAGUGACAAUAAAUAACAAUACGGGGUCCUUACGGGUUUCGUAAUUGGAAUGAGUACAAUUUAAAUCUCUUAACGAGGAACAAUUGGAGGGCAAGUCUGGUGCCAGCAGCCGCGGUAAUUCCAGCUCCAAUAGCGUAUAUUAAAGUUGUUGCAGUUAAAAAGCUCGUAGUUGAAUUUCGGGGUUAGUAGAUUGGUCGUGCCACUGGUAUGCACUGGUCUUACUGAUUCCUCCUUCCUGAUGAACCGUAAUGCCAUUAAUUUGGUGUUGCGGGGAGACUGGACUGUUACUUUGAAAAAAUUAGAGUGUUUAAAGCAGGCUAACGCUUGAAUACAUUAGCAUGGAAUAAUGAAAUAGGACGUUCGAUCCUAUUUUGUUGGUUUCUAGGAUUGACGUAAUGAUUAAUAGGGAUAGUUGGGGGCAUUAGUAUUCAAUUGUCAGAGGUGAAAUUCUUGGAUUUAUUGAAGACUAACUACUGCGAAAGCAUUUGCCAAGGAUGUUUUCAUUAAUCAAGAACGAAAGUUAGGGGAUCGAAGACGAUCAGAUACCGUCGUAGUCUUAACCAUAAACUAUGCCGACUAGGGAUCGGAUGAUGUUAAUUUUUUAAUGACUCAUUCGGCGCCUUACGGGAAACCAAAGUGUUUGGGUUC
rnacentral:rRNA from 1 species